AUGACUUUGAUCUGCGUCCUCAUCUGGACUCUCCUCUGCUGCUGCUUCACAGAGUCCAGAGGACAAUAUACACUGACUCAGACUGGAGCAGUGAGCUCUGCUGUGGGAGAAUCUGUGAACAUCAAAUGUACGACCAGUCAGAAUGUUUAUGGCUCCAGCUAUUUAUCCUGGUACCAACAGAAAGAUGGAGGAGUUCCUAAACUGCUCAUUUACUCUGCUAGCUAUCGACAAUCAGGGAUUCCAGCUCGUUUUACAGGCAGUGGAUCAAACUCUGACUUCACUCUGACCAUCAGUGGAGUCCAGGCUGAAGAUGCAGCAGUUUAUUACUGUCAGAGUUAUCACUACAUCAACAGUCAGGAUGUGUUCACACAGUGAAAAACAGUCGUACAAAAACCUCCCUCGACCGACUGAACAGAA